rnacentral:rRNA from 6 species
ACUUGACCUCAAAUCAGGUAGGACUACCCGCUGAACUUAA